rnacentral:lncRNA from 1 species
GAAUGUUGAGAUGUUAUAUUGGUUUCACUGGUAAUAAUAAAUAAUUGAAAUGGGUAUAUAUUUGUUUUUUGUUAAGUUGCCUAAUAAUUAUGCACAGUAAUAGUCACCUGCACACACAGAUAUCCCCCUAACAUAGCUAUAACUAAAAACAAACUAAAAACUACUUCCAAAAAUAUUCAGCUUUGAUAUUAAUGAGUUUUUUGGGUUCAUUGAGAACAUGGUUGUUGUUCAAUAAUAAAAUUAAUCCUCAAAAAUACAACUUGCCUAAUAAUUCUGCACUCCCUGUAUUAUCUCCAAAAAAAUGUUUCUUGGCACUCACCCUUUCGUGUAAAAUAAUCCAAUUGAGAAAGACCCGAAUGGGUCGAAACGUCGGCUAAAUUUUGAUGAAAUACCUAUUGGAAUAAAUUACCCCUUUUUUCACUUAUAUAGUCCUUGGAGUGCAUCUCUUUUCUUUAGUUUAUAUAUUAUAUUUAAAUAAACUAUAUUUUAUAUCUUGAGGAUAACAUAACCUAUGAUUAUGUACUUGUAACAUCUUUGCUGCUCCCAUUGAAGCCUACUGCAUAUUUAAACAUAGAAAUGUAUGCACAAUUGCACCUUAGCCAUUCUCUCUUGUUUGGUGUAGAUUAGACUGAUUAGUGUUUCUCAUGCUAUAGUUUUUAAUAUCUACCUUCUUUUUUAGAAUAUUAAUCAUGCAUUUGGAAAAUGCCAUUAUGUCCAGUUCUCACACCUCUGUACAUGUUUAAAGUACAUUCUCAAUACAGAGCUUACCAUUUAAUUGCACUUGUAUAUUACCAAUGCUGUUUGUAGUGUGUAUCAUAUGAUUUGAUUCUUAAUUUUAAGUUCAACUUUGUCUAGUUUUAGAUGUUCUUAAUUGCCAAUGUAUAAUUAUAUAUUGAAAUGAAAUAGACACACUUAUUUUUCGCUAACUUCACCUUUAAAUAAAGGCUGGACUUUGCAGUUGCAAUUAGUAGGAACGUUUGAGGGCGGAACCAUCAUUGCCCUUAAAAUGUUUCCCUACCGCCAGUAGAGACUAUACUCCUUACGUUCUGAAGAAGCCGGAAGGCGAAACGCAUCUACGUAGGAACACAAUGUAAUCAAGGUGGGCGGCACCUGCAAACCCCGCGAACAUACUGAACUUUGACGGUUCAUCGGGACAGCCAUCGCGAAGCACGGACACUGGAAGGGCUACCUCCGGACUUACAAUAUUGUGUGACCCGGUAGGACACCCGACCUACAGAUCACCUCUGCAGAUCCUGCUGACUUCGCUCAGAUCCCAGACUUAUAGUGUUUGUGAGUAGCAGAGGCUCUCUGCCUGCCUAAAUCUCACCUACUGCCAUAUUAGGCAGUAUCUAACCAUUUUUUAACUAUUUCAUUGCACUGUCAUUAAAUUUGUUUAUUCCUAUUUUAUCUCUGACAUAUUGUACGAUUAUUUCUGUAUUUUUUUCUCUUUCUGCAUGUCAUCGAGAUCUUUCUACAUAGCAUAAGUAUAUAUUUUUAUUGAAUCACUUUCAAUUCACAAAAGGUUUACAGGCGUGUUUUCCUGCCAUCUGCGCUCCACUUAUCUUCUACUUUUGUAUUCCUCUAUAAGAAUACUGCUGGGUUAGCUAAGAUAAGCGAAGCUACUAACAAGGUCUGAACCUAAACUGAGCACUGUCCCAGCCAGUAUACAGAGGUAAAGGAUAAUGGGGUGAAGAUGAAGGAGCCAAACCCCAAACCAUCCACAACAACCCAAACCAGAAACUCAGAUAAGAUCUGUCACCUCGGCACCAUAGAGCAGCCACUAAUGCCUACCUGAACCACUCUCCUUUCCUUAACGAAAAGAAAAAUAAAUAAAACUUAACUAAGCUAGCGCAUAUUAGUACUACCAAGUAUAGUAAGUGAAAACCAAAACAAAUAGCUUGACGCGCGUUUCAGCACGGCGUUGUCAGGAGCAAUGUCUAUGAGCUGGCCAGUUUAUAUGUAUUCUUAAUUCGCAAUUAGCUAUUGAGUGUUGGCUGCUGUGUAAAGUGGGUGUGCGCUGAGUUGAUCAAUUCUUACCAUCUAAUGCUCCGGGUAUGUGAUGUAUACACCCGCCUUAAUCCUCAUUGGGCUUCGCCUGCUGAGGGGCGGUACCAAGUUCCUUGUGUGUGACGUAUGCACCCUCCUUAAUCCUCAUUGGGCUUCGCCUACUAGAGGGCGGUACCAAGUUCAUUGUGUAUCGAUCAAGAUCAAUGCAACGUUCCUCCCUCCUAUUCCUAUUGGUUGUUGCCCUCUUGAUGCGAAAUCAUAUGCCUAAUUGUACUGAACGGUAGGUGGUGUUAUAUUCACCUAUCUCCCUAAUUGCCGAUAGGCUAAUCUGAUUUCUUAAACAUACAUCCACACAAAAAUCCAUGUGGGUGUGUCGAGCGAUCAGCACUCCUCCCCAAUACCCGUAGAUAGAAACAAAUUGUAAUGUAUAGACAUUACAGAGGACUAGUGCAUCUCUUAAAGAGUCAUUAUCACACAUUGUCUAUAUUUUGUGUUCCUCUCCUAACUAGGACUUAUAGUCCACCCUUCUCUGUUAUAUAAAUUAACUGACCUUAAAAAUUUCUAAAAUGGCAAUUAUCGGAAAGCACAAUUUGCUAACAAUUUGAAACAAUUUUUGUUUUUUGUGGCAUCCAAAUCUUUUUAUUACUAGUCACACAAACUGUGUUGUCAGGUUCCAUACACGAUAGUGUAAUAUGUAAAAAUAACACAAAACACAACAAUUAACAUAUCUAGCCAUCAGAGUGUUAAAACAAGUUAGAAGAUUAAAGGAACAUGCAAAGUAGAGACCUGUAGUGGUUAUGGUGACAGGAGUGCCCUCACAACCCCAAUGUAAAUAGUCAGACUAUUUGUGAAAAGAACAGUUUAGUGUUAGUAAUACAAAGCUGUAUUCCUAAUAUUGUAGUGUCCCUCUGUGUCCCUUUCCCUGUGGCAUUGAAAGGUUAAAAAAAAAACUAAAAAAAAACAGCUAAUCACUUGCCUGAUUACAGCGUCAAGAUCCCUUUGUGCUGG